UGCGUCUGAUUAGCUAGUUGGUGGGGUAAAAGCGUACCAAGGCGACGAUCAGUAGCUGGUCUGAGAGGAUGAACAGCCACAUUGGGACUGAGAGACGGUCCAGACUCCUACGGGAGGCAGCAGUGGGGGAUAUUCCGCAAUGGGCGAAAGCCUGACGGAGCAACGCCGCGUGAGUGAAGGAGGUCUUCGGAUCGUAAAGCUCUUUUAACGAGGACGAAUGGUGUGAGGACACAGAGACGGUACUUGUUGAAUAAGCCACGGCUAACUACGUGCCAGCAGCCGCGGUAAUACGUAGGUGGCGAGCGUUGUCCGGAAUAAUUGGGCGUAAAGGGAGCGUAGGCGGGGAUGCAAGUCUAGCUUGAAAAGCUAUGGCUCAGCUGUAGGAUGAGGCUAGAAACUGUGUGUCUUGAGUGCAGGAGAGGUUAGCGGAAUUCCAUGUGUAGCGGUGAAAUGCGUAGAUAUAUGGAAGAACACCAGUGGCGAAGGCGGCUGACUGGACUGUAACUGACGCUGAGGCUCGAAGGCUAGGGUAGCGAACGGGAUUAGAUACCCCGGUAGUCCUAGCGGUAAACGAUGGCUACUAGGUGUGAUAGGUAUCGACCCCUAUCGUGCCGGAGUGAACGCAAUAAGUAACCCGCCUGGGGAGUACGGUCGCAAGGUUGAAACUCAAAGGAAUUGACGGGGGCCCGCACAAGCGGUGGAGUAUGUGGUUUAAUUCGACGCAACGCGAAGAACCUUACCAGUGAAUGACAGGUAGCGGAUGUGUUAGAGAUAACACAGGCAUAGCAAUAUGACGCGAAGAACAGGUGGUGCAUGGCUGUCGUCAGCUCGUGUCGUGAGAUGUUGGGUUAAGUCCCGCAACGAGCGCAACCCCUACGAUCAGUUGCCAGCGAGUGAAGUUGGGCACACGGAUAGGACAGCUGCGGAGGACGCAGAGGAAGGGGGGGAUGACGUCAAGUCAUCAUGCCCUAAAUGCACUGGGCUACACACGUACUACAAUGGGGCAAACAGAGGGUAGCGAAGUAGUGAUACGGAGCGAAUCUCAAAAAAGGCAUCUCAGUUCGGAUUGCAGGCUGCAACUCGCCUGUAUGAAGAUGGAAUCGCUAGUAAUCGCAGGUCAGCAUACUGCGGUGAAUACGUUCCCGGGCCUUG
rnacentral:rRNA from 1 species